UACAGAGGUCCCAAGCGUUGUUCGGAUUCACUGGGCGUAAAGGGUGCGUAGGUGGUAGGGUAAGUCGGAUGUGAAAGCUCGGAGCUCAACUCCGAAAUGGCAUUGGAAACUACCCAACUAGAGGGUCGGAGGGGGGACUGGAAUUCUUGGUGUAGCAGUGAAAUGCGUAGAUAUCAAGAGGAACACCAGUGGCGAAGGCGAGUCCCUGGACGACUCCUGACACUGAGGCACGAAAGCUAGGGGAG
rnacentral:rRNA from 1 species